UCAGGAUGAACGCUGGCGGCGUGCCUAACACAUGCAAGUCGAGCGGGAAAUCUUGAACGAAACUCGGUCUAGUGAUGAGAUGGAGAGCGGCGGACGGGUGAGUAACGCGUAGGCAACCUGCCCCAUACAGAGGGAUAGCCUCGGGAAACCGGGAUUAAAACCUCAUAAUGCGAAGGAUUCACAUGUUUCCUUCGCCAAAGAUUUAUCGGUAUGGGAUGGGCCUGCGUCUGAUUAGCUAGUUGGUGGGGUAACGGCCUACCAAGGCAACGAUCAGUAGCCGACCUGAGAGGGUAAUCGGCCACAUUGGAACUGAGACACGGUCCAAACUCCUACGGGAGGCAGCAGUGGGGAAUAUUGCACAAUGGGCGAAAGCCUGAUGCAGCAACGCCGCGUGAGCGAUGAAGGCCUUUGGGUCGUAAAGCUCUGUCCUUGGGGAAGAAUAAAUGACGGUACCCUUGGAGGAAGCCCCGGCUAACUACGUGCCAGCCGCCGC
rnacentral:rRNA from 1 species